rnacentral:rRNA from 1 species
UACGAAGGGGGCUAGCGUUGCUCGGAAUCACUGGGCGUAAAGGGUGCGUAGGCGGGUCUUUAAGUCAGAGGUGAAAUCCUGGAGCUCAACUCCAGAACUGCCUUUGAUACUGAGGAUCUUGAGUACGGGAGAGGUGAGUGGAACUGCGAGUGUAGAGGUGAAAUUCGUAGAUAUUCGCAAGAACACCAGUGGCGAAGGCGGCUCUUUGGUCUGUAACUGACGCUGAGGCGCGAAAGCGUGGGGAGCAAACAGG